AUUUGAGAAUUUAUUUAUCUAGAGAAUUUGUUUCCUUAUUUUUAAGAAUUUAAUUCUCACCCCUUUGUUCCCCAUUAUUCUACUAGUUACAUCAAUUUAGUAGCAGGGCUUGUUUUACAUCAAUAUGGUAUUAGAGCUUGUUCUACAUCAACCGCCUUUCUGCUUCAUUAUAUCAUGUAAAUCAACACAUAAUGGGUAAACAAACAACAUAUGCGUGAAUGAAAUGAAAAGCUGUUAACUAGCACCAAGAGCUUUGAACACAUCAAUGUUCUUGCAAGGUUUUGAUGCAUGGAAAAGCCAAUGAUGUUAUCAGAUGGGAAAGUAAUAAGAUUCAAACAUCACAAAACAUUCCAUUUCUUUCUUAUAAACUAAAAUUGACUUGGAUUGUUUACUAUUUAAAUUUAUGAUGAAAAGGUACUCACCCAACUUGACCUCCCCUUGU
rnacentral:misc_RNA from 1 species